AGGUAAGCUACUAAGAGCGAAUGGUGGAUGCCUUGACUGGUAAAGGCGAUGAAGGACGUACUAGACUGCGAUAAGCUACGGGGAGCUGUCAAGAAGCUUUGAUCCGUAGAUUUCCGAAUGGGGCAACCCAAUGUAUAGAGAUAUACAUUACCUAUAUAGGAGCGAACGAGGGGAAUUGAAACAUCUUAGUACCCUCAGGAAAAGAAAUCAAUAGAGAUUGCGUCAGUAGCGGCGAGCGAAAGCGCAAGAGGGCAAACCCAGUGCUUGCACUGGGGGUUGUAGGACUGCAAUGUGCAAGAGCUGAGUUUAGCAGAACAUUCUGGAAAGUAUAGCCAUAGAGGGUGAUAGUCCCGUAUGCGAAAAACAAAGCUUAGCUAGCAGUAUCCUGAGUAGGGCGGGACACGAGGAAUCCUGUCUGAAUCCGGGUCGACCACGAUCCAACCCUAAAUACUAAUACCAGAUCGAUAGUGCACAAGUACCGUGAGGGAAAGGUGAAAAGAACUGAGGUGAUCAGAGUGAAAUAGAACCUGAAACCAUUUGCUUACAAUCAUUCAGAGCACUAUGUAGCAAUACAGUGUGAUGGACUGCCUUUUGCAUAAUGAGCCUGCGAGUUGUGGUGUCUGGCAAGGUUAAGCAAACGCGAAGCCGUAGCGAAAGCGAGUCUGAAUAGGGCGCUUAGUCAGAUGCUGCAGACCCGAAACGAAGUGAUCUAUCCAUGAGCAAGUUGAAGCUAGUGUAAGAACUAGUGGAGGACUGAACCCAUAGGCGUUGAAAAGCCCCGGGAUGACUUGUGGAUAGGGGUGAAAGGCCAAUCAAACUUCGUGAUAGCUGGUUCUCUCCGAAAUAUAUUUAGGUAUAGCGUUGUGUCGUAAUAUAAGGGGGUAGAGCACUGAAUGGGCUAGGGCAUACACCAAUGUACCAAACCCUAUCAAACUCCGAAUACCUUAUAUGUAAUCACAGCAGUCAGGCGGCGAGUGAUAAAAUCCGUCGUCAAGAGGGAAACAACCCAGACUACCAGCUAAGGUCCCUAAAUCUUACUUAAGUGGAAAACGAUGUGAAGUUACUUAAACAACCAGGAGGUUGGCUUAGAAGCAGCCAUCCUUUAAAGAAAGCGUAAUAGCUCACUGGUCUAGUGAUUUUGCGCGGAAAAUAUAACGGGGCUAAAGUAAGUACCGAAGCUGUAGACUUGCACACAACUUAGAUUAUUUAAGUUUAGAAUAUAAAAAACUAAGUUAUAUGUUUUAAGUUAUAUUUUUACUGAUUUUUAUAGAGUAAAGAUAGAAAUAAAACUUAGUAAAAUCAGUAAAAAUAUUCUUGGUUUAAAGUUUAAGUAGUUUAAGUUGUGUGCAAGUGGUAGGAGAGCGUUCUACUUGCGUCGAAGGUAUACCGGUAAGGAGUGCUGGAGCGAAUAGAAGUGAGCAUGCAGGCAU
rnacentral:rRNA from 1 species